rnacentral:rRNA from 1 species
CUAAGGUAGCGAAAUUCCUUGUCGGGUAAGUUCCGACCUGCACGAAUGGCGUAACGACUUCCCCACUGUCUCCAGCAUCGACUCAGCGAAAUUGAAUUCCCCGUGAAGAUGCGGGGUUCCUGCGGUCAGACGGAAAGACCCCGUGCACCUUUACUACAGCUUUGCAGUGGUAUCAGGAUGUGAAUGUGCAGAAUAGGUGGGAGGCUUUGAAGCCAUGGCGCCAGCCAUGGUGGAGCCACCUUUGAGAUACCACCCUUUUGCUUCCUGAUAUCUAACCGAGGUCCGUUAUCCGGAUCCGGGACCCUGCAUGGCGGGUAGUUUGACUGGGGCGGUCGCCUCCUAAAGAG